UGGGCGCAAGCCUGAAGCAGCAACGCCGCGUGUGCGAUGAAGGCCUUCGGGUUGUAAAGCACUUUUAGCAGGGAAGAGAAAGGACGGUACCUGCUGAAUAAGCCUCGGCUAACUACGUGCCAGCAGCCGCGGUAAAACGUAGGAGGCGAGCGUUAUCCGGAUUUACUGGGUGUAAAGCGCGUGCAGGCGGUUGGCUAAGUUGGGUGUGAAAGCUCCUGGCUCAACUGGGAGAGGUCGCUCAAGACUGGCCGACUGGAGAGCAGUAAGGGAAGGUGGAAUUCCGGGUGUAGUGGUGAAAUGCGUAGAUAUCCGGAGGAACACCAGUGGCGAAGGCGGCCUUCUGGACUGCUUCUGACACUCAGACGCGAAAGGCUAGGGUAGCAAACGGGAUUAGAGACCCCGGUAGUCCUAGCCGUAAACGAUGUGAACUUGGCGCUGGGUGGGUAAAACUAUUCAGUGCCGCAGCUAACGCGAUAAGUUCACCACCUGAGGACUACGGCCGCAAGGUUA
rnacentral:rRNA from 1 species